rnacentral:rRNA from 1 species
AAUUCGAUGCAACGCGAAGAACCUUACCUGGGCUUGACAUCCCAAGAAUCCCCUGGAAACAGGGAGUGCCCUUCGGGAGCUUGGAGACAGGUGCUGCAUGGCUGUCGUCAGCUCGUGUCGUGAGAUGUUGGGUUAAGUCCCGCAACGAGCGCAACCCUUGCCUUAGUUGCCAUCAUUCAGUUGGGCACUCUAGAGGGACUGCCGGUGUCAAACCGGAGGAAGGUGGGAUGACGUCAAGUCCUCAUGGCCUUUAUGCCCAGGGCUACACACGUGCUACAAUGGGCGGUACAAAGAGCAGCGAGCUCGCGAGAGUAAGCAAAUCUCAAAAAGCCGUCCUCAGUUCGGAUUGGAGUCUGCAACUCGACUCCAUGAAGUUGGAAUCGCUAGUAAUCGCGGAUCAGCAUGCCCGCGGUCGAAUACGUUCCCGGGCCUU